rnacentral:rRNA from 1 species
UCCACGCAGUAAACGAUGAAUGUUAGUCGUCGGGGGCCUAGUGUCUUCGGUGAUGCAGCUAACGCAUUAAACAUUCCGCCUGGGGAGUACGGUCGCAAGAUUAAAACUCAAAGGAAUAGACGGGGACCCGCACAAGUGGUGGAGCAUGUGGUUUAAUUCGAAAAUACGCGAAGAACCUUACCUAGCCUUGACAUUGAUAGAAUCUACCAGAGAUGGAGGAGUGCCUUUCGGGG